ensembl:lncRNA
CUGGGCACAUUACGCUGUACAAUAUAUAUAUAUAUAUAUAUAUAUACAUAUAUACAUAUACACACACACACACACACACACACAUACAUACAUACAUACAUACAUACAUACAUACAUACAUACAUACACACACACACACUAGUAAUAAAUGCAAUUUAACAUUGGAUAAUGUCCUUCACUUAUUUACUUAUGAGAGCAAAUCCAAAUAGGACAGUGUAAAAUAUAAGGAUACAAUGCCCCCUUCUGUUGAACUUGACAUAGGAAAACUUGACAUAAUUUAUAUUAAACUAUUAUUGCAUUAGAAAUAAUAAAUGGCACUGUUCACAGUUGUCAUGGCUGAAGCCUUCUAGUUGGAGUGUCUGUGUAUUGUGCAUGAAUCUCAAUGUGAAGCAUAAAUUGUAUUUGCAUACAGUAUGUGUGCAUGCUUGUGUAUGUGCACGUGUAUGUCCAUUGGUGUGUGUUUGUGUGUGUUUUUCUAUGGAUAUUUAUGUGUGUGCUUGUGAAAGUGUGUGUCUUCGCAACGUGCACUUGAAUAAACCACUAAGGCUCCACUCCGGCUAGCUGAGCAGCCUCAUUGAGGACCUCCCCAGCUCUCUGUUUGUAUCCCACCGAUAGCUCCUUCCCCCUCCUCAUCUCCCUCAAGCAGGCCUGCAGGUUCUCCUCCAGCCGCCUCCGCUCCUGGUAGUUUGGCGCCGCUUUGGCCACCUGGCCGGCCAGCUUUUCCUCGCUCCGGAGCAGCCAACCAAUCAGCUCCUGGAGCUUGGUCCCCAGCGAGACGGUCAUCUUUGCGGCCUGAGACACGGCCCUCAGCUCGUCCUGGGCCGACAGCAGGCGUUGAGGGGGUGGCUCGUUAUCCCGGACCUCCGCGGACUCCACCGGGGCCGCAGACAGGUGGAAGUCAUAGCCCUUCAUCUGGAGGCUGAUCCUGUAGUGUAGGUCUACAUGCACAAAAAAAAAAAAUCGACAUUUACCAUAAACUCUGGGUUUACCGCUCACUUUGUCUUCAAGGUAAGAACAUUAAAACUUGUGUUUGGGUCGAGUCAGGGGUCAUAUCAAUUACGCGCGUCAGUUAUGCGGCAGCUUAAGAGGUGUGUGUGUGCGUGUGUUGGUGUGUGUGUGUGUGUGCGCGUGUCCUCUUGAAGUGCAUGCAGACCGUGCUCAUCUCUGAUCUUAUUCACGCAAUCGGAGAGAAGAAGUGUGUUGUCAUGGCUACAGCCGUAGGACUGCCGCAGGUGGGCGACGCAUCGUGCCAGGGCCUCGUAGUGUUCCCGCUGCUCGUUAAAGGUCUCCGCAACGUCAGAGAACCUCUGGUCCAACUCUGACAGGCCGACCCUCCUCAUCUCCAGUCUACCGCCGUGUGUCGUAGCUGUGUCCCCUAUUUUAGUUGACACACAGCAACACAGGGAAACAGCGAUAGGAUGGGAGAUAUUAUUAGCAUUGAAUGUAGUACAAUAUUUUACAGUUUCUUCGACAUAGGUCGACCUACCAGAGGGGGCUGGCCGGUUCUGUCUGGCGGAUUCAGUCGUGGUAAAUUGU